GGCAGCAAUUGCUAUUGGCAGAAUGGCAUCGUGAGAACCGCGGCGGCAGCGGCGGCGGCGGCUGCUCUGCAGUUGGAGAAAAGCCAUCGUGUGCCUGCCCUUCUCGAAGAUCUCUGGUUGCUGCGGCACUCCUGUAGGCUGCAGCGCCCGAUCGGUGCCUCUUUGACGGGCAAGAAAGCAAUGCUUGCUUUCAAUUUGGACAUCAUCUUUGGGAGCAGCUUCCCUCACGAGAUAUGUAUUGCCCUAAAGAUGUGCUGGCUUUUAAAAAUAUGAUGUGCUAAAUUGUUGCUGCUGGGCCCUCUUCAGUGUGUGACUUGGAAUGCUGAACUUCAAGACUGCACAGCAUCAAGGUCAUUGAACUGCUUUUCUCAUGGAGCAAAGCCAUCACUCUGAAAUUAUGGAGCCAUGAUGUCAAGUGAACUCAUCAGAUUCCGUUGCUUCUAAUGGAAAAACUGCAUUUGCUCUGCAUUUUCACAAUUUCCAUCUGGUAUGUUCUGCGUUUCUUCUAAGACCGAUCUUCCAGCUUCAUGAAGUUGGGCAGGCAGC